ACCCCCAAAACCAAUUCUUUCUUUGGCCGCCUCUCCUUCCAGUUCUCUGCUGCCAAUGACUGGAACGAACUACAAAAAUCUCUUAAAUUGGAAACACUUAUCUCCCUCACUAGCUUUAAGCACCAACUGUCAGAGCAUCUUACAGAUUACUGCACCUGUACAUAGCCCACCUAUAAUUUAGCCCAAACAACUACCUCUUUCCCAACUGUAUUUAAUUUAUUUAUUUAUUUUGCUCCUUUGCACCCCAUUAUUUUUAUUUCUACUUUGCACAUUCUUCCAUUGCAAAACUACCAUUCCAGUGUUUUACUUGCUAUAUUGUACUUACUUUGCCACCAUGGCCUUUUUUGCCUUUACCUCCCUUCUCACCUAAUUUGCUCACAUUGUAUAUAGACUUGUUUUUUUUACUGUAUUAUUGACUGUAUGUUUGUUUUACUCCAUGUGUAACUCUGUGUCGUUGUAUGUGUCGAACUGCUUUGCUUUAUCUUGGCCAGGUCGCAAUUGUAAAUGAGAACUUGUUCUCAACUUGCUUACCUGGUUAAAUAAAGGUGAAAUAUUUUUAUUUUUUUAAAAGACCCGGACAGUUUUAAAAUCAUGAAUUGGUGAACAUGCUAGCCAGCUAAAUACAUUUCCCCCAUUUGUUCCCAGGGACUAAAGUGGGCACCUGAUCGCGUUUCACUCCAUUGCAGUGGUUUGGCAGGAGAAAACAGUCGUGCCCGUCUUGUUUGCAGGACACCUGACCCUGUCACCCUGCAGAUGUAAGGAACUUGUUGUGAACCUCCCAGCCACCAGGAUGAUCCCCUUAUCCAGGGAUUUUAUUAAGGACUGUGCAAUAUCACAAUGUUAGGAAUGGAUUCACCAGCUGUUGUUUAUCAUGCAGAUUUGUCUGAACAUUGUAAUUUAUGAAACUCAUUCUUAAAUACAGACAUGAAUUUCUGUCCCAGGGAAUUGCACUAUGUGCACAUCUUCAAUUUAGAUCACAGUUAUUUAAAUGAGGUGUUAGUAAAGGGCUGGACCAAAAACGUGUAAACUCCUGUCCUGUGUAUAAAAACAAUCCUGUGGCGGUCAUGACAAAAUCAUGUAGUGAACAAUCUAUUGAACGUUGGAGGUUAAUCUCCUGGAGAUGUCACUCAUGUGGGAAUGACUUAUUUUCUACAAUGGACUGUGUAUUAAGGACUCGUGCACAGGUACAGAAACAACUAUAAAAGUGUAACAUUUAUUCCAAAUUGCAA